CCUACGGGGGGCAGCAGUGAGGAAUAUUGGUCAAUGGCCGCAAGGCUGAACCAGCCAAGUCGCGUGAAGGAUGACGGUCCUAUGCAUUGUAAACUCCUUUUGUACGGGAGCAAAGUGCGUCACGUGUGGCGUUUUGCGAGUACCUGAUGAAUAAGCACCGGCUAAAUCCGUGCCAGCAGCCGCGGUAAUACGGAGGGUACGAGCGUUAUCCGGAUUUAUUGGGUUUAAAGGGUGCGGAGGCGGAAUGUUAAGUCAGCCGUGAAAAUCCCGGGCUUAACCCUGGCAGUGCGGUUGAACCUGGCGUGCUUGAGUGAGCGAGAGGUAUGCGGAAUUCGUGGUGUAGCGGUGAAAUGCGUAGAUAUCACGAAGAACUCCGAUGGCGAAGGCAGCAUACCGGCGCUCAACUGACGCUGAGGCUCGAAAGCGUGGGUAUCGAACAGGAUUAGAUACCCGAGUAGUC
rnacentral:rRNA from 1 species